UACGUAGGGGGCGAGCGUUGUCCGGAAUCAUUGGGCGUAAAGAGUACGUAGGCGGUCUGGUAAGCGCAAGGUGAAAGGCAUAGGCUCAACCAAUGUGAGCCUUGCGAACUGUCAGACUUGAGUGCGGGAGAGGAAAGCGGAAUUCCUGGUGUAGCGGUGAAAUGCGUAGAUAUCAGGAGGAAUACCGGUGGCGAAGGCGGCUUUCUGGACCGUAACUGACGCUGAGGUACGAAAGCGUGGGGAGC
rnacentral:rRNA from 1 species